rnacentral:sRNA from 1 species
AGAAGAUCCGUGACAGCCAGACUAACGAUGUAGAAGUUACAGGGCUGGCGGAGGUUGGGGGUCCUCAUCACUGUCCUAAUAACCAGGAUGUUCCCAGGAAUGUUAACAGAGGCGAUGAUCGAAAACAUCCCGUAAUAAUACACAUAGAACAAAGUUCCCGGCUCCGGAGUCGAGUAAAUCGCCGUUUCCAUUGCAGUCCCGUUUAGAAAUGAUGGCGGAUUUGUCGUGGCAUCUUCCGAACCGGGUAUCGUCUGCUCCAUCAAUGUGCACGAAUAUGGGAUUAUUAUCCACACACUUUUUUUCUUCGCCCGCAGAUCAUUGCUGUUGACAUUCAAGAAAUACUUUUGUGUGGAUUAUAGUAUUUAGAAACGAUAAAACAUUCCCUCUUUUUCAAGUGGUUUCAACAACAUUGAACAAGGAAGCGGCGCGUAAAUUUCUCCGGAAUCGCAUUCAUGGCCCGCUAGUAUUCGACAACCUCUCCAGGCGAUGGCAAAUAUAUCGUAAUAACGUAUUGGAUUUUCUUUUGGAUAACUUAUCUGGGGGGUACACGUUCCGUGAUAUACCUUGAAAUGUUCUUAUUUAUACAGUUAUAUUGUGCUACUAUGCAACCAAAUGUCAGGUUGCGGUAAUGUUUGUAAAAUUUCUUGAAAUGCGCAGUUAUUUUUUUCUCUUGAUCUAUGUAUAAACAAAUAUUAUAUAACAGUUACAACAUGCCACUGCAAUAAUCAUUCGUUUAACCGUGAUCUUAACCGUGAUCAAUGCUUGACGUUAAUAAAAAAUAAUUUAUGUUCUAUCCGAUCAAUGAC